rnacentral:rRNA from 1 species
UACAGAGGGUGCGAGCGUUAAUCGGUAUUACUGGGCGUAAAGCGUGCGUAGACGGCUAUCUAAGUCGGGUGUGAAAGCCCCGGGCUCAACCUGGGAAUUGCAUUCGAGACUGAAUAGCUAGGGUACGGUAGAGGGAAGCGGAAUUUCCGGUGUAGCGGUGAAAUGCGUAGAUAUCGGAAGGAACAUCAGUGGCGAAAGCGGCUUCCUGGACCAGUACCGACGUUCAGGCACGAAAGCGUGGGGAGCAAACAGG